CCCAGACUCCUACGGGAGGCAGCAGUGGGGGAUAUUGCACAAUGGGGGGAACCCUGAUGCAGCGACGCCGCGUGGGUGAAGGAGCGUUUCGGCGCGUAAAGCCCUAUCGGCAGGGAAGAAGGAGGACGGUACCUGACUAAGAAGCCCCGGCUAACUACGUGCCAGCAGCCGCGGUAAUACGUAGGGGGCAAGCGUUAUCCGGAUUUACUGGGUGUAAAGGGGGCGCAGACGGCAGCGCAAGCCAGGAGUGAAAGCCCGGGGCCCAACCCCGGGACUGCUCUUGGAACUGCGCGGCUGGAGUGCAGGAGGGGCAGGCGGAAUUCCUGGUGUAGCGGUGAAAUGCGUAGAUAUCAGGAGGAACACCGGUGGCGAAGGCGGCCUGCUGGACUGCAACUGACGUUGAGGCCCGAAAGCGUGGGGAGCAAACAGGAUUAGAUACCCUGGUAGA
rnacentral:rRNA from 1 species